GAUGAACGCUAGCGGCAGGCCUAACACAUGCAAGUCGAGGGGCAGCGGGGACUUCGGUCCGCCGGCGACCGGCGCACGGGUGCGCACCGCGUAUGGAACCUACCUUCUACAGGGGAAUAGCCCAGGGAAACUUGGAUUAAUGCCCCGUGGCACCGUUAUAUGGCAUCAUAUUACGGUUAAAGCCUUCGGGCGGCAGAAGAUGGCCAUGCGUCCCAUUAGUUUGUUGGUAGGGUAACGGCCUACCAAGGCUACGAUGGGUAGGGGCCCUGAGAGGGGGAUCCCCCACACUGGUACUGAGACACGGACCAGACUCCUACGGGAGGCAGCAGUGAGGAAUAUUGGACAAUGGAGGAGACUCUGAUCCAGCCAUGCCGCGUGCAGGAAGAAUGCCCUAUGGGUAGUAAACUGCUUUUAUACGGGAAGAAAAAGGGGCACGUGUGCCCUACUGACGGUACCGUAAGAAUAAGGACCGGCUAACUCCGUGCCAGCAGCCGCGGUAAUACGGAGGGUCCGAGCGUUAUCCGGAAUUAUUGGGUUUAAAGGGUCCGUAGGCGGGCCGGUAAGUCAGGGGUGAAAGUCUGCCGCUCAACGGUAGAAUUGCCUUUGAUACUGUCGGUCUUGAGUUAUGGUGAAGUUGGCGGAAUAUGUAGUGUAGCGGUGAAAUGCAUAGAUAUUACAUAGAACACCGAUUGCGAAGGCAGCUGACUAACCAUAUACUGACGCUGAUGGACGAAAGCGUGGGGAGCGAACAGGAUUAGAUACCCUGGUAGUCCACGCCCUAAACGGUGCUAACUCGAUAUUUGGCCUAUACGGUUGAGUGUCCAAGCGAAAGCGAUAAGUUAGCCACCUGGGGAGUACGUUCGCAAGAAUG
rnacentral:rRNA from 1 species